UCUAUUUUGAUAAAUACAUGAAAUAAAAAUUUAAACUACCAAAAAUACUGGCAGAAAAUCGAAAAUGUGGUUGUUUUACCUAUCAACCUUGCUAUCGGUGCCACUCCGCAUCUCCUCCAUCUGAUGGCGGAUAUGAGCUAGUUCAGCUUCUUUCGUCUGCACUAGAAUCCGCAGAAUUCAGAAAAAGAAAAUUAUAUUAUAUGAAACAUUAUUUUCCCUUGUUCUAUUUCACUUUCAGAAUGAAAAAACAAAAAAAAAUUCGGACGAAAUCUGGAUACCACUAACUAUGGUUUUGGACAAAGACGGCGAGGUAUUCCCGGUGAGAGUGUUACAAUGGUACUGGUACCAUGCACAUACAACCAGUACCUGAUGUAAUACUCACGGACGGGAAUACCAAAAUCAAGGGUGUGAAUUUAACAAACCUCGGCAUGCCUUACCACGAUGCAGAAUAACUGGUUUAUGCAAACAUGCAUCUUCGAGUAACGCAACUCAAACAAACAUAACAGAAUUUAGGAACGGAGGAUGGAUUUCGGGUCGGGGAAUUACGAGACGACAGGCCGGCUCGCAGACGUCCCGAAGACACCAAGAAAAAUAGCUGAUAGGAAACACGAUAUGUCAUCGAACUGGGCUGGUCGGUUAGAGGUUAGUAGCUACUGGGGUGAUCGCCUGGCCACCCCAGACGGCAAUUCGGGUACUGGGUUUUGGAAAAUCACGCAGGUGCGUGAAAAACCAUUUCCAUCAAGAAAUUUCCCCAUUCUUCUCCAAAUUACCGUAUGAGAUUUCCAGGCGAAAGCCAUCGCUCAAAGUAAUAGAUUAAAAAAAAAUAAUAAAUAAAUAAAAUGAAAAAAAAAAAAAAAAUGAAUAAAAAUAAUCUCUUGUGAGAUUUGAUAUAAAG